UUGAAAUUUAUUCAAGAAACAAGAAUAGUUUGGUCUGUGUUACAGUUCUUUUGCUGAAGAGGACGAAGGCCUCUCAUAUAUACAAGGCUAACGGAAAUAACUGCUGAAAACUAAUAAAUCGCUUUCCUACUUAAAAGACGUGAUAGCGCUUUUAUAAGUGACAGGAAAGAAUGAACAACGGCUAUGAGAAAACGUAUUCUAAUUUAAGUGACGUAAGUCGUGGUAGCGAAGCGGGAAUGCGAUAACAACUCUGCUACUGUAGUCCUUCUUCCUCCUUCCUCUGCUACUGUAGUCCUUCUUCCUCCUUCUUCAUUCUGCAGAAGCAUCAGCAACUUAAACUGAUUUAGGGCCAAGCUGCUACAGAGAUUCAGGGCCAAGCUGCUACAGGUAAUUUUACAGCCUCCCCUCAAGUUGGACUUAUCAAGACAUUGAUAAGUCCUAACUUGGAAAUAAAAGAUGCAAAGCUUGGUCCUGGGAGUGCCUUAGUGAAAAUAUCCGCAACCUGAUUCCUUGAAGCUAUAUGUUGAGGAGCUAAGAAUCCUUCUUUAUACUUGUCACGUACUAUGUGGCAAUCAAUUUCUAGAUGCUUCGUGCGUUCAUGGAACACGGGAUUCGCCGUAAUAUGAAGAGCAGACUGGUUAUCACAGAAGAAGGGGAUAGGUGUUGGCACUUUGACUUGAAACUCUCCAACUAGCCCAAUCUGCAUCACAGUAGGAAGUUAAAUCAAAGUUCUGAGCAGCUGGAAAAUGUAAUCCUCUAUGCAAAGUUCCCUUCAGAUAUUUGACUAGAUGUACAACAGCAUUCCAAUGUUGUUGACGAGGGUGUUGCAUGAAUUGGCUCAAUUGCUGUGUGGCAAAGCAUAUAUCCGGCCUGCUGAAUCCCAAGUAGAGUAAUUUCCCAAGCAAUCGUCUAUAUUUCUCUGGAUCCUCCAAUUGUUGUCCUUCAUGCUCACUCAAUUUCAAUCCACAAGACAUACCUGUCUUCGACCUUGCAAUUUCAAGCCCCAAGAAGUAUCUGGCUGUGCCCAAGUCCUUGAUGGUGAAGGUUCUAUCCAGAUAUUGCUUUAUUUCUAUGAUUUCAUCUUCUGAAGAUCCUGUUACUAAAACAUCAUCUACAUAUACGAGUAAACAAUAUAGAC